UUCAUAUGAUGAUAACUUAACCAGUUCUGCUACUGAUUACCAGUGAUGAGCCUAUCUUACCAAUUAUCUGACAA